rfam:Triticum urartu cultivar G1812 contig486326, whole genome shotgun sequence.
GAAAUCUCCUCUCUGUCCGGAAUUACUUGUCGCAUAAAUGGAUAAAAACGGAUGUAUCUAGAACUAAAAUAUGUCUAGAUACAUACAUUUUUCCGAUAAGUAUUUCCGAACGGAGGGAGUAGAUG